GGCCCAUGUGGGUAUGUGGCCAACCUUUGAAGGAACUGGAAACCAACUUAAGCUCCUCAGAUUCAGGUCUCCUUCAGUAGACCUAAUCAGCAUCUGAAGCUUGUUAGCAGAUUCAUGGUUCCUUAGGAGCCCUCACUACCCUGUCUUUUGUACUCUGGGCAGGCUGAUCUGGUUGAGGAGGUUAAGAAGAAACCCUGGUUUGAAUAGAAUUAAAUGAGGUCAGCAAUGUGGGUUUGACACGAAGCCUUUGAAAGAUAGGCUAUAUAAAGUCAAGAUAUUUCUGUCCCAGAGGAAACAUAUGCCAAUAUAUAGCCACCUCCCAGCCCCACCCAAGCUUCCCCUUUGUAAACCUUCAGCAGGUAAGCACUCCUGCUCCCCCUGUUCCAAGAAACUAACGUUUAAGUACAAAGAUCACGCUUUGUUGUGUGUGGGGGUGUUUCUUUUUGUUGCUGUUUGGAAGAAUUGUGAUGUGGCAUAAAGACUGUUGUUAUUGAACCCAUCUCUAAAUAAACAGCUAAACUUAAAA
rnacentral:lncRNA from 1 species